GAUGAAGAACGUAGCGAAAUGCGAUACUUGGUGUGAAUUGCAGAAUCCCGUGAACCAUCGAGUCUUUGAACGCAAGUUGCGCCUCAAGCCAUUAGGUUGAGGGCACGUCUGCCUGGGCGUCACAUAUCGUUGCCUGGUGCCAGUUUCCUCGUGAUGGGUGACUGUGCAGGGCGAAUGAUGGCUUCCCGUGAGCAUUGUUGCCUCAUGGUUGGUUGAAAAUUGAGUCCUUGGUAGGGAGCGCCGUGAUAGAUGGUGGUUGAGUGACGAACGAGACCCAAUCAUGUGAGACCCCUACCGAAUUUGGCCUUCAUGACCCACAUGCGUCUUUGGAACGCUCAUGACGAGACCUCAGGUCAGGCGGGGCUACCCGCUGAGUUUAAGCAUAUCAAUAAGCGGAGGA
rnacentral:misc_RNA from 1 species